rnacentral:tRNA from 1 species
GGGCGAUUAGCUCAGCUGGGAGAGCGCCUGCCUUACAAGCAGGAGGUCAGUGGUUCAAGCCCACUAUCGCCCA